CAAUAGCGUAUAUUAAAGUUGCUGCAGUUAAAAAGCUCGUAGUUGCAUUUCCGAGGCAAGGGAUUAGUCCGACCUUUGGUGGGUAUUUAAUCCUCUUGCUUCGUCCUUGAGUGGUGCUUCUUGGUAUUAAGUUAUCGAGGAGAUAGCCGCUCAUCGUUUACUGUGAGAAAAUUAGAGUGUUCAAAGCAGGCUUAUGCCGUUGAAUAUAUUAGCAUGGAAUAAUAAGAUAGGACCUCGGUACUAUUUUGUUGGUUUGAGAACCAAGGUAAUGAUGAAUAGGGACAGUUGGGGGUAUUCGUAUUCAGUUGUCAGAGGUGAAAUUCUUAGAUUUACGGAAGACGAACUACUGCGAAAGCAUUUACCAAGGAUGUUUUCAUUAA
rnacentral:rRNA from 1 species